CUAGACGGACCGUGCAUCAAGUGAACACUUUUUCCACUGGGCUACGUCCCCCUUCCCCCCCCCCCCCCCACAUAGUGCCUGAGCUAGCCCUAAGUAAAUGUUUAUUUUUCAGCUGUUCUUUGACGAUGAGAUGAUAUUCAUUCCGUGAUGGCUAUAAAGAAGGGUCGAGUGCGACGCUAUGUCAUCUAUUUCCUGUCUUUCAUCUACUUCUCUCUGUGGGGCUUCGCACUGUUCAACUACCGCAGUCACUGUGUGUUCACGAUACCCAACAUGUUGAUGCAGCUGCCGCAGAUAGACAACUCAAACGCUGGGAAGUGUCAGGUUGACUGGGAUGCCUUAGAUCAUGUUAAAGUUGACAUCUUCUCUGAACCGUCCUUUAAAGAUAUUGCCCCCAGGAACCCACAUGUUCAGAAGGGUCGCCGGUGGAAACCAAAAAACUGUCUCUCCUGGCAGAAGGUUGCCAUAGUGAUCCCAUACCGCGACCGCAUGCACCACCUGAAGAUUCUGCUCAAUCGGAUCCAUCACAUGCUGCACCGUCAGCUCAUUGACUACAGGAUCUUCGUUAUUGAGCAAGUGCCGUGUCGGAUUGUGUUGAAAUCUCUUCGUCCAAAAUUACAGGAACAGCUUGGCGGAUUAGCAGUCCCAGGAGAUGUCCGGUGAGGUUCGCAACACAUGACCUUAUUCUGCUGCCAGUGUGUACUGUUGCACACUGGUUCUUGAUGGCACUGGAAGAAGAAGGAAAUGUUUAUUUAACGACGCACUCAACACAUUUCAUUUACGGUUAUAUAGCGUCAGACAUAUGGUUAAGGACCACACAGAUAUUGAGAAUGCUGAAUGCCUUGUGAAAGAUGUUUGCCCGACAUUCAUGCAUCAGCACCACGUUCCAUACUGUCGGGAGCAUAUGAUGAAGACACUGCUAGCUGCCAGGAACACAGACAACUGCGACUCAAAACUGUUUCUGUGCUCACAACCAAAAUGCUUGGAAUGGAAGGGUUGUGAUGGAUGUUUGAUGUGGGAGCAUUCUGUUUGCAUGAUAACAACAGACAAGCACCCGUACUGUGGACUUUGUUUGCCAUUGCACUACAAAAACUAAAUAUUUCCCAUUCUUGAAUUUGACAUUUUCUGCAGUCAUAUUAAGUUUUAAUUUGCAUGUAUACAUAGAUGCCAACCAUUACGAAUUUGGCGGAAUCAUUACAAAUUUAAAGCAUAGAUUACGCUAUUACGAUUGUUUAGUUCGAAAUUCCGAUUUUUAGAAAGAAAAUUGUAAUUUCGGGUAUUUGGUAUCGAAUCGUAUUUUGGAAGGAACAAAUGUUAACACCAGAGACAUGGAACUUUUCCCCUCUUCACUGUGAACAAUCAUAGAUUGGUUUCCUGCCUUAGAAUAAACCAGUCUAGCAAUCGGUCUUCUGAACAGCCCCGAUGUUUGACGAUUGGUUAUGGCCUUGAACUUGACUUUACCAAAAUGUCGAAAAACGCACUCCUGAGCCAUCACUGAUUACAUUUCUAUUUUGGGGGUGGGUGGGUGGGAUUCCGAUUUUUCAAGGCCUGGAUUCUGAUGACAUUCCAACUAGGGUUGGCAUCUAUGUGCAUACACAAUUACUUUUUUGAAAGAAAUGUACAAAAUUAUUUAUUUGAUAGAUAUAUUUAUCAUAUAAUAGCUAGCAUGUCCAGUAUAAUCAAAGUAUGUGAUAUUUUUUUCAGAUCACAUACAUGUUCUUUCAGAAUUUGAUAACUUUACAAAUUAGAUGUAAAUUAAUUGAGAUCACGCAAACGUUCUACGGUGACACUGCAUGCAUAAUUGUGACACUCCAUAAUUGAUGUGUGCAUUCAUAGUCGUUAAACAAAACCAUUUCAAUAGUAACUUCACACUGAAAGCUGUCCAGUAUUCAGAAAACAAAACCAUUUCAAUAGUAACUUCACACUGAAAGCUGUCCAGCAUUCACAAAACAAAAAAACGUUAAGCACUACUAGUGCUACUAGUUUUUUUUAUGUAAGGACAUCCAAAAUAACAUCAUUCAAUUUUGACGUCAUUUCCAUUCAGACAGACAGAAUCAAAUUCUAACAUCAUUUGAAUAUUGAGUAAUGUCUGAUUGGAAUUAAAGUUGCGUAUACAGUUUA